rnacentral:ncRNA from 1 species
UAUUUUAAAUAUUUAGAUAAACAUGGCGCACAUGUGCAACAGUCAGGGGAUAGACUGCAUACAGUACUUUUUUUUAAAACUAAGAAUAACGGAAUGACACACAACAAUAACUUUGGAAUAACUUACUUAAACCAAUGGAUGUGGAUAAUAGAGAGAUUUUUUAAAGAUUGAAGAGGAGAUAACUUAAAGUGUUUUCUCUUUACAAGAAAAAAUCUUGACGCUCUGGCCUCAUUGAGUUGUGAAGGUGUGUGAUCACCAUUACCGACACACAGCGCCACCUACUGGCCUUCCGGAGUUAGUCCUCCACCCUAAACGGACGCGCGCUCUGGGUUCGUUCCAGAGAGGGGGUCUGAAAAACAGCUGCCACACCCAAGGAAGGCAGCAGGCGCGCAAAUUACCCACUCCCGGCUCGGGGAGGUAGUGACGAAAAAUAACAAUACAGGACUCUUUCGAGGCCCUGUAAUUGGAAUGAGCACACUUGAAAUCCUUUAACGGGGAUCCACUGGAGGGCAAGUCUGGUGCCAGCAGCCGUGGUAAUUCCAGCUCCAUU